rnacentral:rRNA from 1 species
GACGAACCGUGCGAACGUUGUUCGGAAUCACUGGGCUUAAAGGGCGCGUAGGCGGCCCAUCAAGUCAGGGGUGAAAGCUUCCGGCUCAACCGGAAAAGUGCCUUUGAUACUGGUGGGCUUGAGGGAGGUAGGGGCAGAUGGAACUUCCGGUGGAGCGGUGAAAUGUGGUGAUAUCGGAAGGAACGCCGGUGGCGAAAGCGAGCUGCUGGAUCUCUACUGACGCUGAGGCGCGAAAGCUAGGGUAGCGAACGGG